GUGGGGCUCGUGGGGAAGGGAUAGAGAUGGGGAGAAUCGAAGUCAGUUUCCAGGGAGGUAAUAGAGAAGGGGACUUUUUAUGCAAGAGGGGCACUGGUCAAAGGCAACAAAAUAUAUACCUAUGAAAAGAAAGAGCCAAAAAAGUUUAACACAAAUGAGAGAAGUGUCUUGAGACCUCGCUCUCGAAAGAAUUCAAUUUAUAGGAAGGGGGAAAUACAGAAGCAGGCAGGGAGUUCCAGAGUUUACCAGAAAAAAGGGAUGAAAGAUUGAAAAUACUGGUUAACUUUUGCAUUAGAGAGGUGGACAGAAUAGGGGUGAGCAAAAGUAGAAAGUCGUGUGCAACGAGGGCGCGGGAGGAUGGAAGGCAUGCAGUUAGCAAGAUCAGAAGAACAGUUGACGAGAAAAUAUCGAUAGAAGAUAGCAGGAGAUGCGACAUUGCGGGGAAGAGAGAGAGGCUGAAGACAUUCAGUUAGAGGAGAGGAGCUGGUAAGACGAAAGGCUGGUCUGGUCUGGGGGGACAGUCUCGUUAGGGGGACAGUAACCUGAUGAAGCGAGCAAACACGCGGUUCAAGAUUGUCCCAGAAACGAGUAAUCAUUGGUGACCGUCCUUAGCUCGGGACAGGACCAUCAGCUGGGCGGCGGCGGUAGUGGUGGCGACGGCGGUUGUGGUGGUAAGGUUAUACGAAGAGGAAGAAAAGGAAGAGAAGUAAAAGGAAAAGCCAGAGGAGGAGAAAGAAAAAUAGAAGAAGGCGCGAGAGAAGGAGAUGAGGAGGAGAAGGAGGAAAGCGCUAUAGAAGAAAGAAGAGCACCUCCCGCCUCGCGCCUUCCUUCCUCCCGUCUCCCGGAGUGUACACACCUGCACUCUUGAGGCUGCUGGCGAGAAGAACUGUGUCCCAAGCCCUCCACCAUGGCCGCCGCUCCGAAAGUUUGCGUCCGUCGCGCGAAGCUCAUCUUCCUGAUGGAGAACGCAGGCAAGGACGUCUUGACCUUCGUGUUGAAGCGCGGCGCGCUGAACGCCCCCGCCACGCCGCCAGGCCAGUCCCUCAUUGACUACCUUGACAACCUCCCUCAAGGCUCGACAGCCAACUAUGGCAGGAUGAGUAACAAACAAAAGAAAGCAGCACUGAACCACAGUUCAGUGCUGCUUAUCCUCUGACGUGACUACUUUAUUCAUUAUUUUUU